GGAGCUGUGGCUUAAUUUGACUCAACGCGGGAAAUCUUACCGGGUCCGGACACACUGAGGAUUGACAGGCAAUAUCUCAUGGUUAUUAACCGGUUAUUUAUUUAAUCGGUUAUUAAGCAUCGAGUGUUAAAUAUGCUAGUCCUUUCAUGAUUAUGUGAUAGGUGGUGCAUGGCCGUUCUUAGUUCGUGGAGUGAUCUGUCUGCUUAAUUGCGUUUCACUAAGGGCCCAUAAAUUCAAGGUAUGUU
rnacentral:rRNA from 1 species